UUUAGAUCUGCUGAAAAAAGAACGUGAAUUCGAUGGAUGCAAGUUUGUCAAGACACCGAGAGGCUGCUAUGAUCAGGUAUCAGACCAGCUUCUAAAGUUUCAAAGGAUUAGGUCUCUAACGUCAGGGUUUGGGUGAUAGAUAUCCAGGGCUCCAGCCACCUGAUCUGCCAUCCCCAUCCUUUCUUGGGCACAUCUCCCUCUGCUGGUGUUGGAUGGCAAGGGAACCCUCAAGAGAUUUUCUGGCAGAUCAUAGAUGAAGCGCACGCCUAAGAAAG